AUUGAACGCUGGCGGCAGGCUUAACACAUGCAAGUCGAACGAGUGGCGGACGGGUGAGUAAUGCUUGGGAAUCUAGCUUAUGGAGGGGGAUAACUACGGGAAACUGUAGCUAAUACCGCGUACCCUAGGAUGAGCCCAAGUGUGAUUAGGUAGUUGGUGAGGUAAAGGCUCACCAAGCCGACUAUCUCUAGCUGGUCUGAGAGGAUGACCAGCAACACUGGGACUGAGACACGGCCCAGACUCCUACGGGAGGCAGCAGGGGGGAAUAUGGCACAAUGGGGGAAACCUGAAGCAGCCAUGCCGCGUGAGUGAAGAAGGUCUUCGGGUUGUAAAGCUCUUUCAGUAGCGAGGCGUUACCUACAGAAGAAGCACCGGCUAACUUCGUGCCAGCAGCCGCGGUAAUUC
rnacentral:rRNA from 1 species